rnacentral:rRNA from 1 species
GAUGAACGCUGGCGGCGUGCCUAAUACAUGCAAGUCGAGCGAACAGACGAGGAGCUUGCUCCUCUGACGUUAGCGGCGGACGGGUGAGUAACACGUGGAUAACCUACCUAUAAGACUGGGAUAACUUCGGGAAACCGGAGCUAAUACCGGAUAAUAUAUUGAACCGCAUGGUUCAAUAGUGAAAGACGGUUUUGCUGUCACUUAUAGAUGGAUCCGCGCCGCAUUAGCUAGUUGGUAAGGUAACGGCUUACCAAGGCGACGAUGCGUAGCCGACCUGAGAGGGUGAUCGGCCACACUGGAACUGAGACACGGUCCAGACUCCUACGGGGGGCAGCAGUAGGGAAUCUUCCGCAAAGGGCGAAAGCCUGACGGAGCAACGCCGCGUGAGUGAUGAAGGUCUUCGGAUCGUAAAACUCUGUUAUUAGGGAAGAACAAAUGUGUAAGUAACUAUGCACGUCUUGACGGUACCUAAUCAGAGAGCCACGGCUAACUACGUG